rnacentral:snRNA from 1 species
AUCAUCCAAGUGAUUCAUCCAA